UACAGAGGGUGCAAGCGUUGUUCGGAAUCACUGGGCGUAAAGCGCACGUAGGCGGAUAUGUCAGUCAGGGGUGAAAUCCCGGGGCUCAACCUCGGAACUGCCUUUGAUACAGCAUAUCUUGAGUCCGAUAGAGGUGGGUGGAAUUCCUAGUGUAGAGGUGAAAUUCGUAGAUAUUAGGAAGAACACCGGUGGCGAAGGCGGCCCACUGGAUCGGUACUGACGCUGAGGUGCGAAAGCGUGGGGAGCAAACAGG
rnacentral:rRNA from 1 species